CCAUUUCACGUUGACACACCAGUUCGCGUACGAUCAUCGAAGUUAAGCAAAUUCGAGCCUGGUCAGCAUCUAGAUAGGUGACCGCUUGGGAAUAUUAGGGGCUGUAA